rnacentral:rRNA from 1 species
AUUGAACGCUGGCGGCAGGCCUAACACAUGCAAGUCGAACGAGUGGCGGACGGGUGAGUAAUGUCUGGGAAACUGCCUGAUGGAGGGGGAUAACUACUGGAAACGGUAGCUAAUACCGCAUACCAUCGGAUGUGCCCAGAUGGGAUUAGCUAGUAGGUGGGGUAAAGGCUCACAUAGGCGACGAUCCCUCGCUGGUCUGAGAGGAUGACGAGCAACACUGGAACGGAGAAACGGUCCAGACUCCUACGGGAGGCGGAAGUGGGGAAUAUUGCACAAGGGGCGCAAGCCUGAUGAAGCCAUGCCGCGUGGAUGAAGAAGGCCUUCGGGUUGUAAAGUACUUUCAGCGGGGAGGCGGUACCCGCAGAAGAAGCACCGGCUAACUCCGUGCCAGCAGCCGCGGUAAUUC